rnacentral:rRNA from 1 species
UUUGGGGAUAAGGCUCCAUGGUCGAGAGGGAAACAGCCCAGAGCRUCGAUUAAGGCCCCUAAGCGUACGCUAAGUGGGAAAGGAUGUGGAGUCGCAGAGACAACCAGGAGGUUGGCUUAGAAGCAGCCACCCUUGAAAGAGUGCGUAAUAGCUCACUGGUCUAGUGAUUCCGCGCCGACAAUGUAGCGGGGCUCAAGCGUACCGCCGAAGUCGUGUCAUUGCAGCAAUACUCCCAACGGAGGCUGUGAUGGGUAGGGGAGCGUCGUGUGCCGGGUGAAGCCGCGCCGGAAGGCAGUGGUGGACGGUUCACGAGUGAGAAUGCAGGCAUGAGUAGCGAUACACACGUGAGAAACGUGUGCGCCGAUUGACUAAGGGUUCCUGGGUCAAGCUGAUCUGCCCAGGGUAAGUCGGGACCUAAGGCGAGGCCGACAGGCGUAGUCGAUGGAUAACCGGUUGAUAUUCCGGUACCCGCUGUGAAGCGUCAAACAUCGAACCAGGCGAUGCUAAGUCCGUGAAGCCGCCCCGGAGCCUUCGGGCAAAGGGGAGUGGUGGAGCCGACGGACCAGACCUGUAGUAGGUGAGUGAUGGGGUGACGCAGGAAGGUAGUCCAUCCCGGGCGGUGGUUGUCCCGGGGUAAGGGUGUAGGMCGUGUGRUAGGUAAAUCCGUCWCACAUUAAGKCUGAGACCUGAUGCCGAGCCGAUUGUGGUGAAGUGGAUGAUCCUAUGCUGUCGAGAAAAGCCUCUAGCGAGUUUCAUGGCGGCCCGUACCCUAAACCGACUCAGGUGGUCAGGUAGAGAAUACCGAGGCGUUCGGGUGAACUAUGGUUAAGGAACUCGGCAAAAUGCCCCCGUAACUUCGGGAGAAGGGGGGCCAUCACCGGUGAUGAGUCUUGCACUCUGAGCUGGGGGUGGCCGCAGAGACCAGCGAGAAGCGACUGUUUACUAAAAACACAGGUCCGUGCGAAGCCGUAAGGCGAUGUAUACGGACUGACGCCUGCCCGGUGCUGGAACGUUAAGGGGACCGGUUAGUCACUCUUCGGGGUGG